CAAAUGAUGAGAUUAACCUUGUUGAAAGAUUUUGAUUUCACGAUCAAAUGAUUGUACAAUCCUCUAAGAAGUUCUGACACAUUUU
rnacentral:snoRNA from 2 species